GCGCAGUGCUGAGGUAGUUCGCCGCUGGUUCUGGCCCUGGCACCUCCCGCAGGCGCAGUUCUAAGGCGGGUCGUCACUCUUCCUCCCUCCCUCCAACCCUGGUUCUAGGCUCUGUCUUGUCUUCCUUCUCCGAAUUACAACAUUCAGCGCCUUUCUCACUGGUCAUUUCGUUUCGCGCUCAGUUUGUAAUGAAUUUUUUGACUGGAGGACCUAAUUUUCUUGUGGAGAAAAACAAAGGAAACUAAAGAGCAAUCCACUCAAAGUAUUCAUUACAGAGUAUGAAGAAGAACUGGCAGCAAAGGAUUAAGGACAUUGAAACUUUGGCAAGCAGUUAUCAGAAAAACCCCAUCAGCCAGACUUACAGACCAAAACUUUCAAAACCAUGGCAACCGUCAUCAGUUUGGAAGUUGUUUCAUCGCCAGCAUCAAGCUUUUAAUUUUGCCAAGAGUUGUAAGGCGGGUGUUCAUGUGUUUGCUUUGGAGAAUGAAAAUGAGAAGAAGGAUGCUGGGCAUGGUCAGCGAAUUUACCUUGUCACAACAUACACUGAGCUGUGGUUUUAUUAUCAGUAA